GGGCCGGCUCCGGGACGCGAAGCCCAUAGAGGGGGUUUUCCGGCCGCAGGCGCUGGGGCCGCUCCUCCUACGGCGAGGCCCGGGGCUGCGCGCUGCGCUCUUUGCAGGGCCCCCGUGGCCCUCCCGUCACGGCCAGGCUAGGCGGCCCCUCCAUCCCCGAGGGCGACACUCGCAGGCUUCCCCGGCUCGAUCGGCUGCGGAACAGCCGGGAGCUCGGCGCGAAGUCGCAGAAGGCUCGGGCCUGGGCUCGCGCCGCGAACGCGCAUGCUCUGCCGAGGCCCGCCGCGGGCGCCAGCGCACCCUGAUAGAGCCAUCACGAGGCCCAUUCAGCAGAGCUCCAGUGGCGCAAUCGGUUAGCGCGCGGUACUUAUACAGCAGUACAUGCAGAGCAAUGCCGAGGUUGUGAGUUCGAGCCUCACCUGGAGCAAGACCCUUUUGGAUGUUCGCAACCCCUUUUGUGUAUCUCGUUGCCAGAAGUAAGGAGUCUCUCUUUAGUCUUCUCCCUUCUUGUUUCUAACUGCUCUGCCGCACGUCCCCAUUGGCCGCAAGCAGGAAGCAGCUCGCAGUGGACUCUCAAUACCCCUUUUCCGAGCUACUUGUUGCCACCGCGCGACAUCCAGCCGCUCGAACUCGGACAUCCACCCACUGCGUCCUUCUAGUGCUCUUCUUAGGCGGGUCCUGUAACUGCACCUAGUCCCGGACCACAGGAGGGCGGAUGGAGGUGGCGAGGCGCUCCACUGUGGCGGGGUCCCUAGCUGGCCGUGGGGAUCGAAUAUUCUACAGGGCACUUCAUUCUACAGUGUGAGCCCGAGCUCCCGGUGCGGAGAUGAGGCCUGGGGCCGGGCCGCUGCCCCUCGCCCCCGGGCGGGGCCCAAGCACCGCCGACCAUUCCCAGGCGUUGGGGCCCGAGGCCUAGCGCGGGGCGUCCGGGGAGCUGUGGGGAGACCUGGGGCGGCUGUUUUCCGCCCUUGUAACUCGUGAUGAGUUCUUCCCCCUCGCUUCUGUCUGCAGAGACCAAUAAGACUGCGGGCCCUUCUCCUCAACCCAGGCGCCCAGCCGUCCCUGGGCAGAUUUGCAGUUUGGGGAAUGUGCUCGGAGAGUUCCCCUCCCCAUCAUGUGCCCCUUCUCCUAGCGGCACGUCACAAAUCCUGGUUCAGAAGUCCUCCCGGGGGCCGGGAAAUCAGGCCAAGUGGUCGCCGGCGGAUGCGCCCUGCCCCACAUCGCCAGGGGGGGUAGGCAAAGCGGGCACAAGCUUAGUUAAGGGAUGGAAAGCCUCCUGGACGUGUUCUUUCAAAGGGGAGAUUUUCAGCUGUUUUCAUGGACGGGAUCGUUGCUAGAUUUUGGGUGGAAAUAUUACCCCGCGAGUGGUGAAAAUCAAGACCUAGAACGUUCAGAGAAAUGGAUGGAGGGCGGAGCUCUUGUCUAUCUCCUGCGCUAGCCCAGGCUUCGGUUGCUCUCACCCAUCCAGCCCCUCGAUGCAGAACAGGAACCCUAUGCCAACUGGAAUGUGGGAAGGGCCGCCCACUUCCCCUCGUCCUGGUGCCGGGUUCCUCGCCAGCCCCGGGGAGGUCGCCUCUGGCUCACAGACAUCCUCAGAGGCAUGGGAUAGGUCCCCUGUAGAAAUGCAGCCCAG
rnacentral:tRNA from 10 species